AUAACCUGGAGGAAGGUGGGGAUGACGUCAAAUCAUCAUGCCCCUUAUGCUUAGGGCUACACACGUGCUACAAUGGGUAGUACAGAGGGUUGCCAAGCCGUAAGGUGGAGCUAAUCCCUUAAAGCUACUCUCAGUUCGGAUUGUAGGCUGAAACUCGCCUACAUGAAGCUGGAGUUACUAGUAAUCGCAGAUCAGAAUGCUGCGGUGAAUGCGUUCCCGGGUCUUGUACACACCGCCCGUCACACCACGGGAGUUGGAGACGCCCGAAGCCGAUUAUCUAACCUUUUGGAAGAAGUCGUCGAAGGUGGAAUCAAUAACUGGGGUGAAGUCGUAACAAGGUAGCCGUAUCGGAAGGUGCGGCUGGAUCACCUCCUUUCUAAGGAGA
rnacentral:rRNA from 1 species